rfam:Ailuropoda melanoleuca scaffold1000_71, whole genome shotgun sequence.
ACUCCUGUCUUACCUCAGAUUUCGGUGCUGUCAGUCUGAAAAACAGACGUCCAUUUGGUACUCUAGAUGGACUGUCCUUCCCUGACCUAAAGCUGGGCCAUUUGGAGAUUUGGAGAACAAAG